CCAAUAGCGUAUAUUAAAGUUGUUGCAGUUAAAAAGCUCGUAGUUGAAUUUCGGGAUCAAUAUAUCGGUCGUGCCAUCGGUACGUACUGGUAUCAUUGGUUUCUCCUUUCUGACGAACCAUGAUGUCAUUAAUUUGGUGUCAUGGGAAGUUAGGACUGUUACUUUGAAAAAAUUAGAGUGUUUAAAGCAGGCUUUAGCUUGAAUACAUUAGCAUGGAAUAAUGAAAUAGGACGUUCGAACCUAUUUUGUUGGUUUCUAGGAUCAACGUAAUGAUUAAUAGGGAUAGUUGGGGGCAUUAGUAUUCAAUUGUCAGAGGUGAAAUUCUUGGAUUUAUUGAAGACUAACUACUGCGAAAGCAUUUGCCAAGGAUGCUUUCAUUAAUCAAGAACGAAAGUUAGGGGAUCGAAGACGAUCAGAUACCGUCGUAGUCUUAACCAUAAACUAUGCCGACUAGGGAUCGGAUGAUGUUAAUUUUUUAAUGACUCAUUCGGCGCCUUACG
rnacentral:rRNA from 1 species